rnacentral:rRNA from 1 species
UACGGGGGGGGCAAGCGUUGUUCGGAAUUACUGGGCGUAAAGGGCUCGUAGGCGGCCAACUAAGUCAUACGUGAAAUCCCUCAGCUUAACUGGGGAACUGCGUGUGAUACUGGAUGGCUUGGAUUUGGGAGAGGGAUGCGGAAUUCCAGGUGUAGCGGUGAAAUGCGUAGAUAUCUGGAGGAACACCGGUGGCGAAGGCGGCAUCCUGGACCAAUAUUGACGCUGAGGAGCGAAAGCUAGGGGAGCAAACCGG